rnacentral:misc_RNA from 1 species
UCUCCGUAGGUGAACCUGCGGAGGGAUCAUUACUGAGUGAGGGUCUCCGGGCCCGACCUCCAACCCUUUGUGAAUCGUACUCGUUGCUUCGGGGGCGACCCUGCCGUCCGCGGCUGAGCGCCCCCGGGGUCAAUCAAACACUGCAUUCUCUGCGUCGGAGUUAAAGUAAAUUAAACAAAACUUUCAACAACGGAUCUCUUGGUUCCAGCAUCGAUGAAGAACGCAGC